GGAAUAUUGGGCAAUGGAGGAAACUCUGACCCAGCGACGCCGCGUGCGGGAUGAAGGCCUUCGGGUUGUAAACCGCUUUCAGUAGGGAAGAAGCGAAAGUGACGGUACCUACAAAAGAAGCACCGGCUAACUAUGUGCCAGCAGCCGCGGUAAUACAUAGGGUGCAAGCGUUGUCCGGAAUUAUUGGGCGUAAAGAGCUCGUAGGCGGUUUAGUAAGUCGGGUGUGAAAACUCUGAGCUUAACCCGGAGACGCCAUCCGAUACUGCUAUGACUUGAGUUCAGGAGGGGAGCGGGGAAUUCCUAGUGUAGCGGUGAAAUGCGCAGAUAUUAGGAGGAACACCGGUGGCGAAGGCGCCGCUCUGGACUGAAACUGACGCUGAGGAGCGAAAGCAUGGGUAGCAAACAGGAUUAGAUACCCUGGUAGUCCAUGCCGUAAACGGUGGGCACUAGGUGUGGGUUCCAACUAACGGGAUCCGCGCCGUCGCUAACGCAUUAAGUGCCCCGCCUGGGGAGUACGGUCGCAAGACUAAAACUCAAAGGAAUUGAC
rnacentral:rRNA from 1 species